rnacentral:lncRNA from 1 species
GUGCACAGCUCCUCUUAGGUGGACAGGAACCCAGCCAGAAGGCUCCAAAGCAUGUGAGAGAUGCGAUUGGCUACCAGAGACAGAAUCAAAAGAAACAAUGCCUUGACAGACUGGAAUGUGGAGCUAAGGNNNNNNNUCUCUCUCUCUCUCUCUCUCUCUCUCUCUCUCUCUCUCUCUCUCUCUCCCCCAAGUGUCUUGUGUUGCCCACUCAGCUUCUGACUUUCUGCCUUUAUCUGCUGUGAAUUACAGACUCAACUAUAAUGUUGUCUUAUCCCCAUCAAAUCCAAUAACUCCAGGUUUUUAUAAGGCUACACCAGCCUGCUCCCAGGUUCCUGUUAUACAUCCAUGAAACUUGCUAAUGGACCACUGAGCUCUGUCACAUGCCACUCAUAGGUUAAGUCAGGUCAGGCCACUGGGGCUGAGUCCUAGCUCAGGACUUUAUUAAUGCGGUGUGAUCAGUAUGCCCUGAGCCUUUCUGAUCUUAUCCUUCAUCUGCUGAACGGAUCUCAGAUGCCUAUCUCAUUUGGUUGGGAGAAAAGGAAGCAGCUUUCCAGCAAUGGUGGAACCCGGAAGCCUGCAGACUUUGCUGUUCCCAGCUGUGUGGUGCUGUAGAGGCAUGAGGGGGCCUUGAGUCACAUUCACAUUGGUUUUUAUAUUUCCUCUGCCUAGACUGGAACAUGCUGUGGCCUGCUGUAACCUCAGAAACAUCUAGAGGUAGCAGAGGCAACCAAGGGGCCCCAGAAGCUGAAAGCAAGCAAGAGGCACUGUUUGAGGCUAGUGGGACCCUGAAGUGGAACAUCGACUUUCCUGUAGCAAACGCCCCCAGAACCCUCUGAAAGUCAGUUUCACUUUUAACAAGACCCCAGCACAGCUGUGGUGACAGAGGUAGCCCUCACAUAGAAUGGUCUCUCUGAAUCCUUGGGUGGCUGGGCUCGUUCAAAAGUCUCUUCUCCCUGUCGGCUGCCCUUCUGAUGGGCUUUUCCAGCUGUGUUCCUCAUGGGAAGGUUGAGACUGACUGGGGCACAAUGUCAGGCUCUGUCCAUGGCUCAGAUGAGGGUCCUUGCCUCUCCAAAGUUGGGUUCAGCAACUCUGAACAAUCCAUUCCUUGGAUUGGACCUAGAACUGUCACACCUUGAUUUGUCCCUGAGCAUAUUACAGCACAGACCAGCAUUUUGGGUCUUGGGUUUUGAGUACCUGCCAUGUUUACAGCAUCAAAGCCCAAACCCUCUGCUUUUGCUCUGUAAACACUGGUUUGUGUGUUCAAAGUAAAGGUGUUCACUUGGGAAAUGCAUGCCUUUUAAAAAGAUUUUGACAAUCUGUCAAAACUGUAUUAAGACUCCAUCUUACAGCCGGGCAGUGGUGGUGCAUGCCUUUAAUCCCAGCACUUGGGAGGCAGAGGCAGGCAGAUUUCUGAGUUGGAGGCCAGCCUGGUCUACAGAGUGAGUUCCAGGACAGCCAGGGCUACACAGAGAAACUAUGUCUCCAAAAACAAAAAACAAACCAAAACAAACAGAAGAUUCCAUCUUACUAUGGCUAUGGAUUUUAUUACAAGGGGCCUUGGACCAUCAUGUUCAAAGUAAUGAGCCAGACUUGGGAAGAUGGUGCCCUAUGUUUGUGCCCAUAUAUGGAAUCUAUAUUUUUACAAAGAAUGAAAUAUAUAACAUGAAAAUGGAAGGCGGUCUAUAGGAAACAGGAAGGAUACUGGAGGAUGUGACGAUGACCCAAGAAAACAAUACAAACAUAAAAAUGCCAUGUGGGAAUCUGUCACUUUGUGCAAUGCAUUUGAUUAUUUAUAAAAUGGGAGAAAGAUGCAGCAAUCUUGUAUAGAGCAGUACCAGUACAGAAAAAGGUAGUUCCCACUUACAGUAACCCAGCACGGGGAAGGGUGAGACCUACUGUGGGAGGGAGCGGCAGUGUCCCAGAAAGCAAUCUCGUAUCAGAUACUAAAAGCUGUAACUUAUAACCAGUGAGAUGCCUUACCGGGUACUUGCUGUGCAAGCCUGGUAGCAUGGGUUUGAUCCCCCAAACCCACAUAAAGGUGAAAGGAAAGAACCAACGCUGUAAACUUACCAUCUGGACUCCAUGGCGCGCACACACACACACACACACACACACACACACACACACACACACCACCUCCCCACACGCCAACAAACAUCUAUAAUACAGAAGUGGGAAAAUAUCUUUUGAAUAUCAUCUCCAGUACACAGGGAACAAAACCCAAAAGUGACAAAUGAACUAUUUCAAACAAAUUAGCGUUGGACAGAAACGGUGAUGAGGCAGACUGCCAGGAGGGAGAAAAUAACUACAGAGAAUCCAGUGGGGGAUGAAUAUCCAAAGCUGCAAGAACACAACCAACCAGCAGAGAAGCCAAGGGAAAAACAGGCCUGGCAUGGAGGUGCCACACCUGCAUUCCCAGCACUGGGUGGGUGGAAGCAGGAGGUUCCAGAGUUUAAGGUCAUCCUUGGCUACAUGGUGAGUUAGAGACCAGUCUAGGAUUCAUGGAACUUUUGGAGAAGGGGGAAAGCACCCUGUCUCCCAUAAAUUAUCAUUAUACUAAUGAAAAGUAAAAAAAAAAUUAUAAAAAGAGGCCAAUCUAUUAAAAUGUUUGCACCCAUGUGCCCAGUCGUUCCAAGGUGGAAUAUCUGCUGUCACGGGUGUAAUCUUAGGGUCAGCUCAGAAGGGAGGAAGGGGAGGGAGGCACAGAGACGUGAACAUGGGCAGAGACUGAACUGUUCUCCAAAAGGAAUAGCCAGCACACUUUUAAACAUUACUGUGAAAUAUUAGAAUUAUGAAAAACAUGUACGGAGCUGGGAAAUGGUUAUGGUAUAAUUUAUGGACACAUACAUUCAAGAUGGUUAUGAUGAUGUGGAAUUUUUUUAAAAUAUAAGAAAUAAAAAUAUCAAGAUGUCCCUUGCUCUUUUGUUUCUAUUUCUAAGCUUCUACAAUGACAUAAAUUUUCUUUCAUUCGUGACUGGAUCUCAGGUCUUAAAAUGACCCAUAAUAUUGAAUUUCUGAUUCUCCUGCCUCCACCGGCCCAGUGCUGAGUUUAAGGCUCUCACCACCAUACCUGAUGUUUGUUCUGAUUAUUUUGAAAGAAACUUCAAAAUUUAAAGAUAAUUCACAAGAAGAAACAAUGUAUAUAAAAGGAAGAAAAAAAAGCAAAGGAAGCUCCUUGCCUUUCGGUGGCUCUGCUGGUGGCAGAGCCACGUGGGCUCUACCCACGGAGCCUUCACAUCUGGUCACUGGACCGGCAAUCCACUGCUUGGCUCUGUUUUUCCAUUUCUUCAUAGGUAGUCACUUACUUUGAGAGUUAUCUGGUGUUUGUAUUUGUAUUCGAACACACACAUGGACUAAGCAUCCCCUCCACUGUGUUAAGCAAGUAGCACAAUGGCAUUAAGCUCUGCUCCCUCCAUGUGCAGCAUCAUCUCUGUCUAUCACAGAUGAGAUUCUCUUCAUUGCCUUAAGCAGAAACUCCAGACUUUAAACACAGUACUUGGUCCCCUCCUCAAGGCCCGGAAACCACUAUUCUGUUUUCUAGUCUCCCAGAAGUUGAAGAAUUUUUGGUUGUAUGUUUGUGUCUAUUCUGCACACUUUUGUGUGUGGGUUUGUAUGUGUGCGUGCUCGGAAGCCAAAGAAUCACCCGGGGUGUGGUUCCUCAGGAAUGUGGACCACCUUUCCCCCCUUCCUUCCUUUUUUCUUCCUUCCUUCCUUCUUUUUUGAGACAUGGUCUCGCAUAAUUUCCAACUCCCUAAACUACAAAUUCAAACUCAUCAAACACUGGCUGGUGGUUCUGAACUCUGCUGUAUUUUGUUGUUGUUUGUUUGUCUGUUUCCAUAAAUUUGACCUCUAGGUACCUCCUAUAAGUAGAAUCAUAUUAUAUUUGUCCAGAUCAGUUUUUAAAGAUUUCUGAAGUUAAGGAUACAUCUAAGUGGUAGAGCACUUGCUGUAUGAAGCUGUAGGUACAACACAGAGGG